rnacentral:tRNA from 1 species
ACUAUUUUGGCAGAAAAAUGUAAUGAUUUUAGAAGUCAUCAAUGUAUAAUUAAUUAUAUAUAUAGUA